GACGAACGCUGGCGGCGUGCCUAAUACAUGCAAGUAGAACGCACAGUUUAUACCGUAGCUUGCUCCACCAUAGACUGUGAGUUGCGAACGGGUGAGUAACGCGUAGGUAACCUGCCUGGUAGCGGGGGAUAACUAUUGGAAACGAUAGCUAAUACCGCAUAAUAUUAAUUAUUGCAUGAUAAUUAAUUGAAAGGUGCAAUUGCACCACUACCAGAUGGACCUGCGUUGUAUUAGCUAGUAGGUGAGGUAACGGCUCACCUAGGCGACGAUACAUAGCCGACCUGAGAGGGUGAUCGGCCACACUGGGACUGAGACACGGCCCAGACUCCUACGGGAGGCAGCAGUAGGGAAUCUUCGGCAAUGGACGAAAGUCUGACCGAGCAACGCCGCGUGAGUGAAGAAGGUUUUCGGAUCGUAAAGCUCGGUUGUAAGAGAAGAACGGGUGUGAGAGUGGAAAGUUCACACUGUGACGGUAUCUGACCAGAAAGGGACGGCUAACUACGUG
rnacentral:rRNA from 1 species